rnacentral:lncRNA from 1 species
GUGAUUAAUUUCAAAUCAACAUCCAAACUUAUUAUUUUAUUAACUACUGCAGAACUGGAAAGGUGUUGCUGCUAUCCAGCACAGGUUUAUAGGCAGUAAUACAUUUCUACUAGAAAAUAAGUUAUCUCCAACAUAUAACAGCUUAGAAUCAGAAGCUGUGAUAACAUAGUACCUAAUGGUAUUUAUUAUACCAUUUAGAAGGGGCUCUGAGGACUUAAAUAACUAGUAUUUGCAUAUUACAUUCACUUUCAAUAUCCAAGAUAGCAUCAUCUUUAAGUUAAUUUGUUUCCCCAAGCUAGAAAAGUGGUUGUUUUACUAAUAGGUAUUUCCAGGCUCUCCCUUGCUCCUCUUAGCAAUAAAUCAGUAAGUUGCUCAGCACCAUAGUUUAAACCACUUGUUUUGCUCCAGGUGUUUUGGCAUUGCUGCUCCUCAUUUCCUUUUAAAACACAUACUUAUUCUGAAAAUAAUACCUACUUCUGGCAUAUAGGUACCCUUGACUAAGUAUUAGUUCAAUUUGGUAAAGAUGGGGAAAAAAAUAAGAAGAAGAAGAAAGAAAGAAAGAAAGAGUUAUCAUCUUUUUCUUUUAUCAGAAAAGUCUCAGAAAUGGAAAAACAAUGUCUUAUGCUGGCCACCUCAAGACUCAAGACAGUGAAGAUCAUUUCCUGUGUUUUCUACAUUUGUUUUGCAAGAUCUUGACAAAAUUGUCUGAUCAGGCUUGUAGAUUAGUGGUUGCAAGCUUCAAGGAAAUGUCUUUGGCUAGUUUUCAAUAUAAACAGGAAAACAGAAAACUGUCUGAAGACUUUGUCCACAUAACACACUGCUUUAACUUCUCGUGAUUUAAAACAUAAGGUAAGCAUUAAAAUGCCUCACUUCACAUGCAAAUUUGAGAUGACAGUGUAACUAAGGAUGAAAAUCUGUUUUGUAUGUUUCCCAAUGGAUUAUACAGCUGCAUAUACCCUCCCUCCAAUAGGUAUUUUUGAACCUUUUAACAGCUAUCUAGAGUCCUUGAAACAUCUUUCAUCUCAUUAGUUGCAAUGCAAGUAAAGACCUAAGUCAUGAGAUGAGUUACAUCUGAAUUUCCAGACUGGCUGAUAAUUAAUGUAGGAUUGCUCAUUUUGUGGUUAUCAGUAAUUCUGGAAGUAAGGUCCAGUUGUAGUGUACAGAAUUUUCUAAGAAAGAGCUAAACGUACAGUCUGCUUGUUGACUGGCAAAGAUUUUCUUGUCACUGCAAACUAGUUAAUAAAGCCAUUGAUUACUUGAAAGACUAGCA